rnacentral:rRNA from 1 species
UACGAAGGGGGCUAGCGUUGCUCGGAAUCACUGGGCGUAAAGCGCACGUAGGCGGAUUGUUAAGUCAGGGGUGAAAUCCUGGAGCUCAACUCCAGAACUGCCUUUGAUACUGAGGAUCUCGAGUCCGGAAGAGGUGAGUGGAACUCCGAGUGUAGAGGUGAAAUUCGUAGAUAUUCGGAAGAACACCAGUGGCGAAGGCGGCUCACUGGUCCGGUACUGACGCUGAGGUGCGAAAGCGUGGGGAGCAAACAGG